GUGGGGAAUAUUGGACAAUGGGCGAAAGCCUGAUCCAGCCAUGCCGCGUGUGUGAAGAAGGUCUUCGGAUUGUAAAGCACUUUAAGUUGGGAGGAAGGGUAGUAACCUAAUACGUUGCUACUUUGACGUUACCGACAGAAUAAGCACCGGCUAACUUCGUGCCAGCAGCCGCGGUAAUACGAAGGGUGCAGGCGUUAAUCGGAAUUACUGGGCGUAAAGCGCGCGUAGGUGGUUCAGUAAGUUGGAAGUGAAAUCCCCGGGCUCAACCUGGGAACUGCUUUCAAAACUGGCGAGCUAGAGUACGGUAGAGGGUGGUGGAAUUUCCUGUGUAGCGGUGAAAUGCGUAGAUAUAGGAAGGAACACCAGUGGCGAAGGCGACCACCUGGACUGAUACUGACACUGAGGUGCGAAAGCGUGGGGAGCAAACAGGAUUAGAAACCCGAGUAGUCC
rnacentral:rRNA from 1 species